rnacentral:rRNA from 1 species
GCAUAUCAAUAAGCGGAGGAAAAGAAACCAGCCGGUAUUGCCUCAGUACGGCGAGUGAGCGGCAAAAGCUCAAAUUUGAAAUCUGGCACCUUCGGUGUCCGAGUUGUAAUUUGAAGAAGGUAACUUUGGAGUUGGCUCUUGUCUAUGUUCCUUGGAACAGGACGUCACAGAGGGUGAGAAUCCCGUGCGAUGAGAUGCCCAAUUCUAUGUAAAGUGCUUUCGAAGAGUCGAGUUGUUUGGGAAUGCAGCUCUAAGUGGGUGGUAAAUUCCAUCUAAAGCUAAAUAUUGGCGAGAGACCGAUAGCGAACAAGUACAGUGAUGGAAAGAUGAAAAGAACUUUGAAAAGAGAGUGAAAAAGUACGUGAAAUUGUUGAAAGGGAAGGGCUUGAGAUCAGACUUGGUAUUUUGCAAGCUUUACCUUCGUGGUGGAGUCCCCUGCAGUUUACUGGGCCAGCAUCGGUUUGGAUGGUAGGAUAAUGACUUGGGAAUGUGGCUUUGCUUCGGUAAAGUGUUAUAGCCCUUGUUGAUGCUACCUGUCUAGACCGAGGACUGCGUCUUUGACUAGGAUGUUGGCAUAAUGAUCUUAAGUCGCCCGUCUUGAAACACGGACC